AGCAGUGUAGCAUAGUGGUCAGGAGUCUGGCUUAUAACCAAAAGGUUGCUGGUUCGAUGUCCCACUCGGGUACUGCUG